rnacentral:tRNA from 1 species
GUCAGAAUGGCCGAGCGGUCCAAGGCGCCAGACUCAAGGUUGUGCACCUUCUCCAAAACAGAGAGAUUUCUGGUCUCCGAAUGGAGGCGAGGGUUCAAAUCCCACUUCUGACA